rnacentral:tRNA from 1 species
UCAGUCGUGGUGCAUCGGUUGCAAGGUGUGACUGUGAUCGCAUCAGGUUGUGGGUUCGAUUCCCACUCGAUUAAA